CAAGGCCUUGCCUGUGUCUGCUGGGCAGGAUCCAGGGAAGCUUCUCACAUGCCAGGAUACCCCUCCUCUGCACAAGGAAGGGUCCGAGGGGACGGCAGGACGCAUCACCAGCCCAUCCUGCACCAGCCACCAGAGCCCAUCCAAGCCCUGUUGGCACACUGAGCGGGCUGGAGGGCUUCCACAAGCGCAGAGCAUCUUCACACCAGCAAAUUCAACCCUUACAUCCCACAAGCAGGGAUUUACACGUCCUGCGUGCUCCCAGAUCUGCAGUCACAGCUCCCAGACCUGCUCUAGGAAUAAUGAGAUCUCUGGUGACUUGUCAUCACUUUAUAGCUCUUGUUAAAACAAGUGCUGAGGUUCUCAUGUACUCACCUGGCCGGGAGCUGAGUCUCUCAGGAGCAUACCAGGGGCAUGUGGUAACAUCAUGGGAGCAGCAACUUGCAGCAUAAACUACCUGCAAUCACCGAAUCUGCUGAGGGCAUCUUCAUUAAGCAGAAGGACAGAGUCAUGAAAGAAAGAAGGAAAAAAGCCACAACUACAACAGCCAUGGUGGACGUGGUGCCAUGUUGAGAGGGCUCUCCAAGCUGCUUCACAAAAUGCUCCUUCCAGCAUCAUAUAUGGUCUUGUAUGACCACAGGUAGCCAACCUGGAUAACACAUGAACUCCUGGAGCUGGACAAACCCUGCUGCUGUUCUUGCCCCUGAGGUCCUGGUUUCACCUUGCUGAGCAGACACAAUAGAUGACUUACCUCGUUAGCUUGGCCUUGUCUAAUUGCUCACGUUUUGAUGUGACAGUGGUCUCAUGUUGCCAAUGCCCUUGGUGUGACCAAUUGUCUUCCGGGUACAGCUCGGACGUGGGGAGGUAAUUGCCUUUAAAUGGCCACAACACGUAGCUUAAUGGCAUUUUCUGAGUUCCAGCCUGAAAUCUUACUAUGCUUUUGCUUAUUGUCAUUGCUCCCAGCAGUUUGUUUCACCUCUUAUCUCACUAAUAUGAAGUUUGAAUAAAGCCUCUUAAGAAGCAGCCCAAGUACGUGGUGAAUAGCAGCCUUAGGAGGCCACAACCGAGUCCUUUCAUUUUAGCCUUUUUUAUUUUCUAUUGUUUGUACUUAAGGAUACAUUAUAGGGUUUAUGGGCCAAAUUCAUCCUAUUCAAAUGAAGUUACCUCAGAGACACGCCUGGCUCUGUUGCUUUAAAAAAAAUAGAUAAUCCCAAACAGCAGGAUAAUUUUAUGACCGCUAAUUACAUUUGUUGCUAUGCAA
ensembl:lncRNA